rnacentral:rRNA from 1 species
GAGCACGUAGGUGGGUUUGUAAGUCAGAUGUGAAAGCCUUCUGUUCAACGGAAGAGUUGCAUCUGAAACUGCGAGUCUUGAGUGUAGGAGGGGAGAAUGGAACUUCUGGUGGAGCGGUGAAAUGCGUAGAUAUCAGAAGGAACUCCGGCGGCGAAAGCGAUUCUCUGGCCUAUUACUGACACUCAGUGUGCGAAAGCUAGGGGAGCAAACGGGAUUAGAUACCCCGGUAGUCCUAGCCGUAAACGAUGGGCACUAAGUAGAGGGGUUUU